rnacentral:rRNA from 1 species
UACGUAGGGGGGCUAGCGUUGUCCGGAAUCAUUGGGCGUAAAGCGCGUGUAGGCGGCCCGGUAAGUCCGCUGUGAAAGUCGGGGGCUCAACCCUCGGAUGCCGGUGGAUACUGUCGGGCUUGAGUACGGAAGAGGCGAGUGGAAUUCCUGGUGUAGCGGUGAAAUGCGCAGAUAUCAGGAGGAACACCAAUUGCGAAGGCAGCUAACUACGGGAGGAUUGACACUGAGGCACGAAAGCGUGGGGAUCAAACAGG